AUAUCAAUAAGCGGGGGAAAAGAAACCAACAGGGAUUGCCUUAGUAACUGCGAGUGAAGCGGCAAAAGCUCAAAUUUGAAAUCUGGUACCAUUCGGUGCUCGAGUUGUAAUUUGGAGAGGCAACUUCGGAGAGGGUGUUGGCCUAAGUUCCUUGGAACAGGACGUCACAGAGGGUGAGAAUCCCGUGCUUGGCUGACUGUCCCUCUUCAUGUGAAGUGUCUUCGACGAGUCGAGUUGUUUGGGAAUGCAGCUCAAAAUGGGUGGUAAACUCCAUCUAAGGCUAAAUAUUGGCGAGAGACCGAUAGCGCACAAGUAGAGUGAUCGAAAGAUGAAAAGCACUUUGAAAAGAGAGUUAAAAAGUAC
rnacentral:rRNA from 1 species